rnacentral:rRNA from 1 species
CAGUCGCCACGGUAAUACGAAGGGUGCAAGCGUUACUCGGAAUUACUGGGCGUAAAGCGUGCGUAGGUGGUGGUUUAAGUCCGUUGUGAAAGCCCUGGGCUCAACCUGGGAAUUGCAGUGGAUACUGGGUCACUAGAGUGUGGUAGAGGAUAGUGGGAUUUCCGGUGUAGCAGUGAAAUGCGUAGGGAUCGGAAGGAACAUCUGUGGCGAAGGCGACUAUCUGGGCCAACACUGACACUGAGGCACGAAAGCGUGGGGAGCAAACAGGAUUAGAUACCCCCGUAGUCCCUGUCUCUUAUAC